GUGGGAGGGGGCUUGCCCCCGAUGACAGUGGGUCGUCAGCCCAUCUAUAGCUGACACGCCGCUAUCGGGGGCAAGCCCCCUCCCAC
rnacentral:misc_RNA from 1 species